GCCAUUUCUUUUCUCCUGUGGAGCAGUAGUUUUGUGGUACAAAUAGAAUGACACAGCCAUUUUGUUCCUUCUUGUUUCAAGGUUAUACUGUAAUGGCUGAAAGUCAAAAGCUAAGACCUGGACAUUCUACAGGCUUAGCACCUUCCCCUCAGUUGCCAUCGUCUGGAUAUCAGAAUAUCUUUGAAGACAGAGCUAAUGCUCUGGUUGUUUCUUCCCAUACACAAGACAACGACUCUUUACAAAAGCUGAACAGAGAAUGCACCUCAUCUUUGAAGAAUAAUCUUUCAGAAGUCUCUGCCUGUGAAAAGCAAGCGCAGAUGUGUCCGAAAAUUCCAGUGGAGGUGAACAUUUAUUGACUAAUACAGAGGAAAGACCUAUUAAAGCUGCAAUACAUGAGAAGAAACAAACUUUUGAAGAAUUCUUGGAAGAGCAGAUACAACUAGAAGAACAGCGUCUGGAGCAAAACCAGAAGUUACAGGUUAUUUA
rnacentral:lncRNA from 1 species